CCCUUAGAUGUUCGGAGCUACACGCGCGCUACACUGAAGGAAGCAGCGUGUUAGAGCACCUGGCUUGAAAGAGCUGGGUAAUCCGGUGAAUGUCCUUCGUGAUUGGGAUAGGGACUUGUAAUUAUUUCCCUUGAACGAGGAAUACCUAGUAAGUGCGAGUCAUCAGCUUGCGCUGACUACGUCCCUGCCCUUUGUACACACCGCCCGUCGCUCCUACCGAUUGAAUGAUCCGAUGAAUAUCAUGGAUUGAGGAUUAUAGCAGGUUCGCCUGUCUUGAUCUUCGAGAAGUGAAGUAAAUCUUAUCAUUUAGAGGAAGGAGAAGUCGUAACA
rnacentral:rRNA from 1 species